CGGCCAAAUGAUCACCUUCGCUCUGCAAGGAGUGGACUUGGGCAAGAAAGGACAAGUGCAGCUGAGAACAUGGAAAGAUGCACCAGGUGUUAUCUGCACCGGGUCAACCUCCAGCCACAGAAAAACACGGAUGCUGGCUGUCUGGCCUCUGCCCUGUCUAAUGGACCUGGCCUGGAUUUACAGCUGAAUUAUGGAUGAGCCCAUAUCUCACAAGUUUCUCAUGUUAAAAUGAGGUACUUUCUGAGGAAUGACUGAAGCUACUUGAAAA
rnacentral:lncRNA from 1 species